GGAGGGAGGCACUUCGGCGAAGCCGAAUUCAAUUGCGCCGACCGAUUUGCCGCCGAACGAAUGUGAGGGGGCGUUUCCAAA
rnacentral:sRNA from 1 species